rnacentral:rRNA from 1 species
AACAUCGCCUCUUGCACUAAUAUAAGAGUCCAGCCUGCCCAGUGACCAAGUUCAACGGCCGCGGUAUCCUAACCGUGCGAAGGUAGCGUAAUCACUUGUUCUUUAAAUGAGGACUAGUAUGAAUGGCACCACGAGGGUUAUACUGUCUCCUUUUUCCAAUCAAUGAAACUGAUUUUCCCGUGAAGAAGCGGGAAUACUUCUAUAAGACGAGAAGACCCUAUGGAGCUUCAAAUCAAAUAGCAUUGGCUAUAUAUUAUAUUUUAAUUAAUAACUUUUAUUACUGCCCUCUGACUAUUAAUUUUGGGUUGGGGUGACCGCGGAACAAAAACUAACCUCCAUGGUGAACAAACAUUUUCCUGAGCCAAAAGCCACAACUUUAAGCACCAAAACAUUGACACAAAUUGACCCAAUAACUUGAGCAACGAACCAAGUUACCCUAGGGAUAACAGCGCAAUCUACUUCAAGAGCCUCCUAUCGACAAGUGGGUUUACGAYCUCGAUGUUGGAUCAGGUAUCCUAGUGGUGCAGCCGCUACUAAUGGUUCGUUUGUUCACGAUUAAA